AAAUUUAAACGGCCGCGGUACUCUGACCGUGCAAAGGUAGCAUAAUCAUUUGCCCUAUAAUUGAGGGCUAGUAUGAAUGGUUUGACAAGAAUGAAACUGUCUCCCUACAAUUAUAUAGAACUUUAUUUUCAGGUGAAGAAGCCUGAAUAGAAUUAAAAGACAAGAAGACCCUAUCGAGCUUAAAAUAAAUUAAUGAAUUAAUAUAAAUAAUAAUUAAAACAACAUUCAUUAUAAAUUUUAGUUGGGGCGACGGAGGAACAUUAAAAGCUUCUUUUAGGUUUAAAUUACCAGACGAGUGUAGAUCCAGGAAAUUCUGAUCAAAGGAAUUAGUUACCGUAGGGAUAACAGCAUUAUCUUUUUUGAGAGCCCAUAUCGAAAAAAAGGUUUGUGACCUCGAUGUUGGACCAGAAUAUCCUAAAGAUGCAGAAGUCUUUAAGGGUUGGUCUGUUCGACCAUUAAAAUUCU
rnacentral:rRNA from 1 species